GGAAGACCUGAGUUUUCCAAAGUUGUUACCAAGUUAGAAGAAUGUCUCUGCAACAUUGAGCUGAUGUCUCCGGCAUCGAGUAACAGCAGUGGGUCUCUUUCACCUUCCUCUUCUUCUGAUUGCCUGGCAAGCCAGGGAGCCCCUGGCCAGAGCACGUGGCAGCUUUACGGAGCCGUUUUGAGUUGGAGUGUGCUCUCAACGCAAGGUCCUAUGCUGCCUGGCCCCAAAGGGUGGUUCAUUGACAUCAAGAACAUGGAGAAGCACAGUUUUACUGGCGUUCUCUACCAAUCCUGUGCAGGAUUGUGGCAGGAGCCAGUCAUCCAGGAAUGUGUACUCUGAGAUGGAGCCUCCUCUUCCUUUGGGAUUAACCAGGUUGAAAAUUGCAGCAAAGUUUAUUUUCUGUGCUCAAUCAGUCAUGUACUUGUGCCACAAACAUUUACAGAAAGCCUAUAUUUUGCCAGAUGUUUGCUGGGGACUGGAGAUGUUAAGAACAGAACAUAAUAUAAUCAUCUUUUUGCUGUGUGAAUCCUUACUAUGAAAAAUGGACCCCAGAUCCAUCCACAGUACAAUGUACAGUAAUGGGCACAUGACUGGAGGUCAUGUGGACACUGAGGAUGGCAGGCAGCACUGACAGGUGAGCACAGGGUCUGUGGACUUCUUGCAAGAGGGCGUCUUGGCACAGAUGUAAAGAUGGAGCUAAUAACUACAAUAACCUACCCAUACUGAGUUCUUAUUUGGUACCAAGAUAACAUUUUAAAUGUUAUCUCAUGUAAACCCAUAACAAUGAGAAAGGUAGCAUUAUCACUUUCACUAUGUUGCAGAUGAGAAGGAAAUGAGUGCCAAGAAAAUAGGGGUUGCAUCUGCCUAAGGCAUCACUUGAACCUAGCCACUACGGUCCUAGCAGUGGUGAGUCUAGUGCUAAACUCUACAAAAGGACAUCAAAAAGGAAAAGCAAAGCAAAGGGAGAUCACCAGCAGGCCAGAAGGAAGGCAGACUGCAGCCCAAGGGUAGCUAGCGACUCAGUCUGACAGAGCAGUGGAGUAGCAUGUUGAGAGUGAGCUGGGCUGAGACCUGGGUGGGGCAGGUGUGUGGGGAGGCCGGCUUUGCUGCUAACAGAAGUGGCUGCCAUCCUGGAAAAGAGCGUGCGUCUUGGAAACAGAGGUGCCUGUUCCAAUCUCACUUCUGCCUGCUGAGAAUACUGUCGACUUGGGUUUGGUUUCCUAAAAUAGGGAUCAAGAUAACACUGUGCCUGUUUGGUUUUGUUUGUUUGUUUGUUUGUUUUCAAGGACUGAAGGAACACUUAAUACCACUUUUGUGUGUCAGUUUGUUUUAAACUAAGGAUAAAUGUCUCCUAAGUCAUAGUUUUUUGUUUGGUUUGGUUUUUUUUUUCCAAAAUGAAUAAAUGCCUCUCUGAAGCUGAGGAAAGAAAGCCUGUGCCUACCGGAAAUGCACUCUCGUCCUGAGACUCUCUUCUCCUUGUUAUCACUUACUCUCUUUGAAAUAUAAGACACUCCCUUUUCCUCAUUAAGUAGCAGUUUUACCCGUGAAUUUCUCACUGCCUGAUUGUCACCCUCCACGCUUGAUGAGCAUUCCUCAGGCAGGUUGCCAUUUGGCUUAGUGUAAGGGUUUCUGGAUGUUUUGAUGGAGCCAAAGAACAGAGUGACAGCAAUUGGGGGAAAUGACUUUUGAGGAUUUCAACUUUUCUCUAUUAUCUCGGAAAAGAAAACUUGCAGUUAAUUGUGAAUGUGCUUGCUAAAAGCUAGGCUACUGCUUAAAAAUGCAAGUGCUUAAAAGGCUUGAGAUAACAAAUCUGAUGUUACCCAAAUGAACAUUUUUAAUUCUACUUCUAAUUCUAAAAAUGCUCUUUAUUGCUUAGGGCAAGUCUUAUGCUCUUUUCUUCAAUAAUAUUUUAUCAGGUCAAUGUAGAGGAAAAUAAAUUCUAGGAUACUAUAAUAUGUAAAAGUUGAUGACAAAACAUUGGUAAGAUGUGCAUUGCUAUUUUUGGCAUAGCACAUUUGCUAAGAAAUAAAAUGGUUUUGACUCAGAAAAAUAAGUUUUCUGGUAUUAAGUGAUCUGAAUUUCAAUUUGUAAACAAGUUUUCUGUUGCUUGAGUACUCUGGCUAAUUUUUUUAAAGGGUAAACAGUUUUGAAGUUAAAGAUUGCUUUAGCACAAUGACAAUCAAUUUCAUCUUCAAUUUUAAAAUCUGGACGGAAGGAGAAAAAUUCAGAUUAUCAAGUUUCUUGAAUUUUUUUUUCAGAUAUAUACAUACACAUGAACUUGAAGAGUAUACAAAAUUUAAAUAUGGCUAGAGUUGGAAAAUUCGUAGAAUUGAUCAACUAACACAAAUAGGCAUUGGGCGACUGUGUUUGGCCCCAUCCAGAGAGUGCUAGUGUUCUGAUGGCUAAUCUUGUGUAAACAUUUUUGGCAAA